GGAAGAGGCAGCGGCGGGGCCCGGCGGCGGCGCGGCUGGAAUGCGGUUAUGGCAGGCAGGGCUGGGGCGAGCGCGGAGCCGAGCCGGUUGACCAGACCGGCAGUGCCCAUGAUGCCCUGAAUGCUGAGCACAGCAGAAGCAGAGAAGACUGUGUCCCGUUAGCUCCUCGUCCUUCCUCCUUACCCCUUUAGUUUGGAUUUGUUUCUAUUUAUUUUGUGGCUGGGUUUGGGCAUGGCCUUGGCCGGAUGUGACACUGCCGCGAUGCGGCUCCUUUGGCUCAAGCACCACUUGUCUGUCAACAUUUGGACCCUGCUGCUCUUGGGAAGCACCUGGCUACCGCUGGCGGAAGGCAGCCCCAAAUCUCCCUUUAGGACUUUCUCGGUUACAGACUGGAGCUUGACGCACCUGGUGGUCCAUAACAAAACCGGGGAGGUCUACGUGGGGGCCGUCAAUCGGAUCUACAAGCUCUCCAAUAACCUCACGCUCUUGCGGACGCACGUGACGGGGCCAGUGGAGGACAAUGAGAAGUGUUACCCUCCGCCUAGCGUUCAGUCCUGCCCGCAUGGUCUGGUCACCACCAACAAUGUGAACAAGCUGCUGCUGGUGGACUAUUCGGGGAACCGGCUGAUCGCCUGUGGCAGUGCCUCGCAGGGUAUCUGCCAGUUCCUGCGGCUGGAUGACCUCUUCAAGUUGGGUGAGCCCCACCACCGCAAGGAGCACUACCUCUCCAGUGUCAAUGAGUCGGGGACCAUGUCUGGGGUCAUCAUUGAGGUGCUAAAUGGGCAGAACAAGCUCUUCAUUGGGACGCCCAUCGAUGGCAAGUCGGAGUACUUCCCCACGCUCUCCAGCCGCAAGCUGAUGGCCAAUGAGGAGAAUGCGGAGAUGUUUGGCUUUGUCUACCAGGACGAGUUUGUCUCGUCCCAGCUUAAGAUCCCCUCAGACACGCUCUCCAAGUUCCCCACCUUUGACAUCUACUACAUCUACAGCUUCAGCAGUGAGCAGUUUGUGUACUACCUGACCUUGCAGCUGGACACCCAGCUCACCUCACCCGAUUCCACUGGUGAGCAGUUUUUCACCUCCAAGAUCGUCCGCCUCUGCGUGGAUGACCCCAAGUUCUACUCCUACGUGGAGUUCCCCAUCGGCUGUGUGCAGGAUGGCAUUGAGUACCGCCUGAUCCAGGACGCUUACCUGACCAAGCCCGGCAAGGCUUUGGCCAAGUACCUGGGCAUCUCAGAGCAGGAAGAUAUCCUCUUCACCAUCUUCUCCCAGGGCCAGAAAAACAGAGUUAAGCCUCCCAAGGAGUCUGUGCUCUGCCUCUUCACGUUGAAGAAGAUCAAGGAUAAGAUCAAGGAACGUAUUCAGUCAUGCUACAGAGGGGAAGGGAAACUCUCGUUGCCCUGGCUCUUGAAUAAGGAGCUGGGCUGCAUCAACUCGCCGCUGCAGAUCGAUGACAACUUCUGUGGCCAGGAUUUUAACCAGCCACUUGGUGGAACCGUCACGAUUGAGGGGACCCCACUUUUUGUGGAUAAAGAGGAUGGGAUGACCUCGGUGGCUGCCUAUGACUACAGAGGACAAACUGUUGUGUUUGCGGGCACACGGAGUGGGAAGAUCAAAAAGAUCCUGGUGGACUUGCCGGCUGACAGGAAGCACCAAACGCUGCAGUAUGAGAACGUGGUGGCCCAUGAAGGCAGCUCCAUCCUGCGGGACCUGGUGCUGAGCCCUGACCGCCAGCACCUCUACGCCAUGACUGAGAAGCAGGUGACGCGGGUGCCGGUAGAGAGCUGUGAGCAAUACGAGAGCUGUGAGCUGUGCCUGGGCUCCCGGGACCCCCACUGUGGCUGGUGUGUCCUCCACAAUGUAUGCUCACGCAAGGACCGCUGCGAACGCGCAGAUGAGCCCCAGCGUUUUGCCUCCGAGCUGCGGCAGUGCGUGCAGCUCACCGUGCAGCCCAGGAACAUCUCAGUCACCAUGUCGGAGGUCCCGCUGGUCCUGCAGGCCUGGAACGUCCCCGACCUCUCGGCGGGAGUCAACUGCUCCUUUGAAGACUUCACUGAGUCCGAGAGCCGCAUAGAAGAUGGGAAGAUCUACUGCAGCUCUCCAUCUGCCAGGGACGUCAUUCCCAUCACCAGGGGCCGUGGAGAUAAGCGGGUGGUGAAACUCUACCUGAAAUCUAAGGAGACUGGGAAAAAGUUCGCCUCUGUGGAUUUUGUUUUCUAUAACUGCAGCGUCCAUCAAUCCUGCCUGUCCUGUGUGAAUGGCUCCUUCCCCUGCCACUGGUGCAAGUACCGCCACAUCUGCACCCACAACGCCGCCGACUGCUCCUUCCUGGAGGGACGGGUCAAGCUCUCUGAGGACUGCCCACAGAUCCUGCCCUCCACCCAGAUCUACAUCCCAGUGGGAGUGGUGAAGCCCAUCACCCUGACAGCCAAGAAUCUACCACAGCCACAGUCAGGCCAGCGCAACUAUGAGUGCAUCUUUCACAUCCCUGGCAGCACCACCCGUGUCACAGCUCUGCGCUUCAACAGCACCAGCAUCCAGUGUCAGAACACCUCGUACUUCUACGAAGGGAACGACAUCAGCGAUCUGCCGGUCAACUUAUCUGUGGUUUGGAACGGAAACUUUGUCAUCGACAACCCCCAGAACAUCCAGGCCCACCUGUACAAGUGCUCAGCCCUGCGGGAGAGCUGUGGGCUGUGCCUGAAGGCCGACCCACGCUUCGAAUGUGGCUGGUGCGUGUCGGAGAAGCGCUGCACUCUGCGGCAGCACUGCCUGGCCUACGAGAGCAGCUGGAUGCACGCCAGCAGUGGUAACAGCCGCUGCACCGACCCCAAGAUCACCAAGCUGUCACCUGAGACCGGCCCUAGGCAAGGAGGGACACGUCUGACCAUCACGGGGGAGAACCUGGGCCUCAAGUUUGAAGACGUGCGCUGGGGUGUUCGAGUGGGCAAAGUGAUGUGCAUCCCCAUCGAGAGCGAGUACAUCAGCGCUGAGCAGAUCGUGUGUGAAAUUGGAGAUGCCAGCCCAAGCAAGGUCCACGAUGCGCGGGUUGAAGUGUGCAUCCGGGACUGCUCCCCCAACUACCGGGCCACCUCACCCAAGAGCUUCACCUUCGUGACGCCCACUUUCUCCCGAGUGACCCCUGCCCGCGGCCCUCUCUCCGGUGGCACCUGGAUUGCCAUUGAAGGAAGCCACCUGAAUGCUGGUAGCAACGUCACUGUCACCAUCGGGGGACGGCCCUGUGCCUUUUCGGGGAGAAGUGCCCGUGAGAUCCGCUGCAGGACCCCCCCUGGCCAUGCUCCUGGUGGGUCCCCCAUCCUCAUCAACAUCAACCGGGCAGAGCUGAGCAACCCGGAGGUGAAGUACAACUACACAGAGGACCCUACUAUCCAAAAGAUUGAUCCUGAAUGGAGCAUCAACAGUGGUGGGACACUGUUGACUGUGACUGGCACCAACCUGGCCACCAUCAAAGAGCCCAAGAUCCGAGCCAAGUACUGCAGCUCUGAAAGGGAGAAUAACUGCACUGUGUACAAUGACACCACCAUGGUGUGCUAUGCACCCUCCAUUGACAACCCUGAGCGGAGCCCUCCUGAGGUCGGUGACCGGCCAGACGAGAUCGGGUUCAUCAUGGAUAACGUCCAGGCCUUGCUGAUCAUCAACACCACCAACUUUGUAUACUACCCAGACCCCGUCUUUGAGCCGCUCAGCCCCACGGGGAUGCUGGAGUUGAAGCCCAGCUCUCCCCUCAUCCUCAAGGGCAGGAACCUGCUCCCUCCAGCUGCAGGGAACUCCCGCCUGAACUACACAGUGCUGAUUGGGGACACUCCCUGCACUCUGACCGUGUCUGAGACCCAACUGCUCUGUGAGUCUCCUAACCUCACUGGCCAGCACAAAGUCACGAUUAAGGCUGGAGGGUUUGAGUUCUCCCCGGGCACGCUGCAGAUUUACUCGGACAGCCUGCUCACCCUGCCUGCCAUUAUUGGGAUUGGCGGCGGCGGCGGCUUGCUGCUGCUCAUCAUCAUCAUCGUCCUCAUCGCCUACAAGCGCAAGUCCCGUGAUGCUGACCGCACCCUGAAACGCCUCCAGCUGCAGAUGGACAACCUGGAGUCCCGGGUGGCCCUGGAGUGCAAAGAGGCCUUUGCUGAGCUGCAGACAGACAUUAACGAACUGACUAACGACCUGGAUGGGGCCGGCAUCCCUUUCCUGGAUUACCGCACUUACGCCAUGCGGGUUCUGUUCCCCGGGAUAGAAGACCACCCGGUGCUGAAGGAGAUGGAGGUCCAGGCAAACGUGGAGAAGUCCCUGACCCUCUUUGGGCAGCUCCUGAACAAGAAGCACUUCCUGCUGACCUUCAUCCGCACGCUGGAGGCUCAGCGGAGCUUUUCCAUGCGAGACCGUGGCAAUGUGGCCUCACUCAUCAUGACAGCACUGCAGGGUGAGAUGGAGUAUGCCACGGGUGUUCUGAAGCAGCUUCUCUCCGACCUCAUCGAGAAGAAUCUGGAGAGUAAGAACCAUCCCAAGCUGCUCCUGCGGAGAACAGAGUCAGUCGCAGAGAAGAUGCUGACAAAUUGGUUCACGUUUCUGCUGUACAAGUUUCUGAAGGAAUGUGCUGGGGAGCCACUCUUCAUGCUGUACUGUGCCAUCAAGCAGCAGAUGGAGAAGGGACCCAUUGAUGCCAUCACAGGAGAGGCUCGCUACUCCCUCAGUGAAGACAAGCUUAUCCGGCAGCAGAUUGACUACAAAAUGCUGACCCUCAACUGUGUGAAUCCUGAGAACGAGAAUGCGCCAGAGAUUCCUGUCAAGGUGCUGAACUGUGACACCAUCACACAGGUGAAAGAGAAGCUGCUGGAUGCUGUCUACAAAGGAGUGCCCUAUUCCCAGCGUCCCAAAGCUGGAGACAUGGACCUUGACCUUGCUCCUCUGCUCUGCUUGGCUUUGUCCUCCAAGCUGCCUGCUAACCAUGAGCCCUUCUCCCUCACUGGGACAGAGUGGCGGCAGGGCAGGAUGGCCCGGAUCAUACUGCAGGAUGAAGAUGUCACCACAAAGAUUGACAAUGACUGGAAGAGGCUAAACACCCUGGCCCACUACCAGGUGACGGAUGGCUCCUCAGUAGCCCUGGUGCCCAAGCAGAACUCAGCGUACAACAUCUCCAACUCCUCAACCUUCACCAAGUCCCUCAGCAGAUAUGAGAGCAUGCUGCGGACAGCCAGCAGCCCCGACAGCCUGCGCUCACGCACCCCCAUGAUCACCCCAGACCUGGAGAGUGGCACCAAGCUUUGGCACCUGGUAAAAAACCACGACCACAUGGACCAGCGGGAGGGAGACCGGGGCAGCAAGAUGGUCUCUGAGAUCUACCUGACCCGUUUGCUAGCCACCAAGGGCACUCUGCAGAAAUUUGUGGAUGAUCUGUUUGAGACUAUCUUCAGCACAGCACAUCGUGGGAGCGCACUGCCCCUCGCCAUCAAAUACAUGUUUGAUUUCCUGGAUGAGCAAGCUGAUAAGCACCAGAUCAAUGACUAUGAUGUCAGGCACACCUGGAAGAGUAACUGGUAAUGGAGAGGGGCAGUGAAGCAGGGGCUAGCGAUGUCACAGCUAAUGAUACCUCUUACCCUUCCCACAGGGAGCAGAAAUAUGCCUCAAGUUGUUCCUGAAAAUGUUCCAGCACAAGAGAGGCCCGUAUCUCUGUGUUUUGGGUGUGGGUAAAUCUUUCACAUGCCUUCCUGCAGUAGAAAAAAUCCCAGGAAUGCAGUGCUCACUGCUGCCACAGUACCACGUUUCCACUUAUGGCUGGAGCUGGCUGAGGACAAACACGAUUCUGUUCCCAUCUCACCUUGAGUGAGCACAGCACGGCCUUCUCUGUCCUCUGGGCUCCUCCAGAUGUGCCAGCCUGCAUUCUCAUCUUAGCUGUCCUGGAGGUGUUUGCCACACUCCCCCCAGUCACUCAGCUGAGUGUGCCCUAACAGAGUUAGUGUGAAGCCAUGUACGCAUCCUCAUCCUCCGUAACCUCGCCUGCAGAGCCAACCCAUCAGCUCUGCUAAUCGCUCUCUGAAAAGUGGGGAGGAGCUGCUUAUGAGACCUCAGUGAGCGCUGUGCUGAGGCCAGGGCUCCAGCACACGUCUGCUCCUUUUCUGCAGCUCCCCCUCUACAUUCUGCGUUUCUGCUGCCUCACUGAUUUCAUCUCUGAUCUUGCCGUUGCUGGAGACGGGUACGUACGUUCCCGUGCCUGGCAUUUGUUAAAUGGCAGCCAAAUUGCUUUUGUAUAGUUCAGUAACUGUUGGCAAUUAGCAGGGCAGGAAAAGAAACAUUUUUAAAUGGAGAUGUGAGAGUGCGGAAGUGCUUGGAACUGAUUUAUAACUCUGCUUUCUAUAUUAAAAGAAGGAGUGAAAUGCAAGGGAGGAAAAAAAGGCCCGCUCUGCAGGGGCUGGGCAUGCAGGCUUCUGCAUACUAAUGUCUGUGCUUAUCUCUGGGCGCUAAUUCAAUGUGUGGAGCUAAUUUCUUGAGGCCAUUCCCUUCACAAAUGAAAUAUGUACAUGCACCCGGUACCCUCAUUAAGAAAGUCCUGGGGAAUGAAGUGUGUUUUGUCUAAGAUAAAAGCAUUCACUGGGUGUUGGUGCUGAGGAGUGACAGACUGGAGAGGCAUUCUAAUGGAGGGAGACCCUGAAAGGCUCCUGGGAGAGGAGAGGGGCAAGAGAGUGGGAAAUGGAGCGAUGGAGAGUGGCAUGUGUGUAAGUAUGCAGCAAACAUCCAGUCCCAGUGCCUCCACCGCUGAGAAAUGCGUCUCUGGCAUCUGAGACUGCCUAAAUCGUUCUCUCAUCUUAAUUGUGCUAAUGAGCCUCUGGAGGAAUCCAGCAUCCCCCUCCUGCAGCACGAGAGACGUGUGAAAUGCCACCAAGUGUCUUAGGAUUAUUGAUACGGGAGGAGGGAAUCGUGCCUGGUGACCCAUGGGUUCAGCGAGGGCUAUUCCGUUCUACCUCUGCGUUUUUGGGUGAAUGUGAUUAAGAACCCCCAGUUUGUGUUCGACAUUCACAAGAACAGUAUUACUGAUGCCUGCCUAU